GAUAUGGCUCACGAUGAACGCUAGCGACAGGCUAACACAUGCAAGUCGAGGGCAGCAUAAAAGUAGCAAUACUUGGUGGCGACCGGCGCACGGGUGAGUAACGCGUAUGCAACCUACCUAUCGAGAGGGGAAUAACCCGGCGAAAGUCGGACUAAUACCGCAUAAAACAGGGGCACCGCAUGGUGAUAUUUGUUAAAGAAAUUCGCUGAUAGAUGGGCAUGCGUUCCAUUAGGUAGUUGGUGAGGUAACGGCUCACCAAGCCGACGAUGGAUAGGGGAACUGAGAGGUUGGUCCCCCACACUGGUACUGAGACACGGACCAGACUCCUACGGGAGGCAGCAGUGAGGAAUAUUGGUCAAUGGGCGAGAGCCUGAACCAGCCAAGUCGCGUGAAGGAAGAAGGAUCUAUGGUUCGUAAACUUCUUUUGCAGGGGAAUAAAGUGCAGGACGUGUCCUGUUUUGUAUGUACCCUGAGAAUAAGGAUCGGCUAACUCCGUGCCAGCCGCCGC
rnacentral:rRNA from 1 species